rnacentral:tRNA from 3 species
GGAGAGGUGGCAGAGCGGCUGAAUGCACCGGUCUUGAAAACCGGCAAGGGUUUGUAGCCCUUCGUGGGUUCAAAUCCCACCCUCUCCGCCA